rnacentral:misc_RNA from 1 species
UCCGUGUUAACCACGGCAGUCUCGUGUGAAAAACAACACACGACAAGGGUUGCGCUCGUUACCCCACUGAAGGGAACAUUUCACAACACGAGCUGACGACAACCAUGCAGCACCUGUCUGGCACCCUCGAAGGCUCCUAAGUUUCCCUAGGUGUGCAGCCAGAUUUCAAGCCCUGGUAAGGUUUACGCUUAUCAUCGAAUUAAACCACACGCUCCACCGCUUGUGCGGGCUCCCGUCUAUUCCUUUGAGUUUUAGCCUUGCGGCCGUACUACCCAGGCGGAUGACUUAACGCGUUAGCUUCGACACUGAGAGGGUCGAUUCUCCCAAUGCCUAGUCAUCAUCGUUUACGGCGUGGAUUA